UACGUAGGGGGCAAGCGUUGUCCGGAAUCAUUGGGCGUAAAGCGCGUGUAGGCGGCUCGGUAAGUCCGCUCUGAAAGCCCGGGGCUCAACCCCGGGAGGCGGGUGGAUACUGCUGAGCUCGAGUCCGGAAGAGGCGAGUGGAAUUCCUGGUGUAGCGGUGAAAUGCGCAGAUAUCAGGAGGAACACCAAUUGCGAAGGCAGCUCGCUGGGACGUUACUGACGCUGAGACGCGAAAGCGUGGGGAGCAAACAGG
rnacentral:rRNA from 1 species